rnacentral:tRNA from 1 species
GCUGAGGUUGUGGCUCAGUGGUACAGCGCUUGCCUAGCACAUGUGAGGCACUGAGUUCAAUCCUCAGCACAGCA